rnacentral:rRNA from 1 species
AUUGGCGAACGGUGAAUAAUAUAUCGGAACGUGCCCAGUCGGUGGGGGGAUAACGUAGAGAAAUUUACGCUAAUACCGCAUACGAUCCAAGGGAUGAAAGCGGGGGACCUUCGGGGCCUCGUGCGACUGGAGCGGCUGAUAUCAGAUUAGGUUGUUGGUGAGGUAAAAGCUCACCAAGCCGACGAUCUGUAGCUGGUUUGAGAGAACGACCAGCCACACUGGGACUGAGACACGGCCCAGACUCCUACGGGAGGCAGCAGUGGGGAAUUUUGGACAAUGGGCGAAAGCCUGAUCCAGCAAUGCCGCGUGCAGGAAGAAGGCCUUCGGGUUGUAAACUGCUUUUGUACGGAACGAAAAGGUCUGCCCUAAUACGGUGGGCCCAUGACGGUACCGUAAGAAUAAGCACCGGCUAACUACGUGCCAGCAGCCGCGGUAAUACGUAGGGUGCGAGCGUUAAUCGGAAUUACUGGGCGUAAAGCGUGCGCAGGCGGUGAUGUAAGACAAAUGUGAAAUCCCCGGGCUCAACCUGGGAACUGCAUAUGUGACUGCAUCGCUGGAGUGCGGCAGAGGGGGAUGGAAUUCCGCGUGUAGCAGUGAAAUGCGUAGAUAUGCGGAGGAACACCGAUGGCGAAGGCAAUCCCCUGGGCCUGCACUGACGCUCAUGCACGAAAGCGUGGGGAGCAAACAGGAUUAGAUACCCUGGUAGUCCACGCCCUAAACGAUGUCAACUGGUUGUUGGGGAUUCACUUCCUCAGUAACGAAGCUAACGCGUGAAGUUGACCGCCUGGGGAGUACGGCCGCAAGGUUGAGACUCAAAGGAAUUGACGGGGACCCGCACAAGCGGUGGAUGAUGUGGUUUAAUUCGAUGCAACGCGAAAAACCUUACCCACCUUUGACAUGUACGGAAGAUUGCAGAGAUGCGAUUGU